UGUACUUGCUUCGGCCCGUACCCUAUACUAAAUUGGAAAAGAUACAGAGAAGAUUGCAUGGCCCCCGCGCAAGGUGGGCACGCCCCAAAACGGGGAAGCGUUCCACAUUUUU